rnacentral:rRNA from 1 species
GACGAACGCUGGCGGCGUGCUUAACACAUGCAAGUCGAACGGCAAGGCCGUGCUUUUGUGGGGUGCUCGAGUGGCGAACGCGUGAGUAACACGUGAGUAUCCUGAUCUUGUCUUUGGGGUAACUUCAGGAAACUGGGGCUACUCUCGGAUCGGAGAUGCUGUUGCAUUGAGGGGGUUGGAACGUUUCGGCCGUUGGGGAUGGAUGAGCGGGUUAUGGGUUAGUUGGUUGGGUAGUGGAUUACCAAGGCUUUGAAGGGUAGGCCGCCUGAGAGGGUGGACAGCCACAAUGGUACUGAGGGACGGCCCAGAGUCCUACGGGGGGCAGCGGGGGGAAAUAUUGCACAAUGGGCGGAAGCCUGAUGCAGCAACGCCGCGGGCGGGAUGACGGCCUGCGGGGUGUAAACAGCUUUCGCCUAAGACCAAGCGGGAGUGACGGUAAUGGGUAAAGAAGCACCGGCUAACUACGUG